AAUCAAAAACUUAAGCAAAACAUCAGUUCUCUACACCCUGUCAAAUUUCAUAGAUAGUCAUAUAGUUCAAGCGAUGUCCAGACUGCCUAGAGGGUUUGCCCUCACUCCGGGGUUGGAACUCAACAACGAACUGAGCCAGAAGAUAGCGGUAUUCGAUGCCAUGACCAUUGAACGAGCGGAGCUAGAUCGCGAUAUCAGUCUAUUGCGCAAGCAACAGGCUGAUACUGAAGAUCGUCUGGCCGAGGACCUGGCCGAGGACGAGUUCCAGAGUUUAAUGAGUGGACAGCAAGUCGUGGAGCAGAGUUAUACAGACCUCGAAAAUAUUUUUAAUCAACAAAUUGGAUGCAUUGUCGAUAAGUUGGCUGCUAAAUAUGAGCGUAUUGUGUACCUCGAUAGCGACCUAACGAGGCUUAAGCAAUCUAUCGAGAAGGGUGUUGCUGCGGCCAAUGCGCAGUUGACAGCAGCGGCGUCCAUGUGAUUUCAAUGGAGAAGCAUUAAACCAAAUAUACAUAUCUGUGCGCGAUAGGCCAGAAAAGCUGCCUCCAAUUAAGUCCUAGCCCUGACGACAUAUUGCGGACCACUAUUUAUGUGAGGAGAGGUCAUAUUUAGUUUCUUGUGAUAUUUAUACUUGAUUUAAUUGAUACCACCGAUGGCGUCAUGUAAAAUAAAUAAAUAGCUGCAGUUUCA